rnacentral:miRNA from 1 species
GUUGCAUGGUUUCUCUCAUUUGUGGUAACUAGAAUGUACUUAAAAAUGUACAAGUAAGCACUGGAUGGUAAAUGAAAAAAAUACACUAGAAUGGGAUAGAUUAUACAGG